CAAGAUGUUCAGUCUUCAUUACCAUUAAUUAUGCCUAGUUUACCUUCACCUCUUUUUGUGAGACCUAUUGUGCAACAACAAAGUAACCAGAUGCAACAGAAUAAUCCUAUACCUUGUGUUUCUCAGUCUUUAGUUCAACAGCCUGUUUCAAGUUCUCAAACAGGAUAUGAGCCAAAAGCCCAGGUACGUUAUUCUCCAAGAUCUUGUCGAAUUGAAGGACCUUCAUUUCCAUAUCUCUAUAAAGAGGAUCCUAAACAAUUUAUAAUGUUAAAGAUGGCUCUGGAGAAUUUAUUACCCCCAGAUGAGACUGAGCAGUACAAAUUCCAUAUUCUUUUAGACCAUUUAAAAUUGGAUUCAGCACGCAACUUAGUUUUGGCUUAUUCUAACCAUCCUCUGCCUUUCAGUGUAGCGUGGGCAGCCCUCCAGCAGAAAUAUGGUCAGCCACAUCAAUUGGUUUUAAAAGAAAUUGCUGAGACUAUGAGCCUCCCAACCGUUCAAACUGGUGAUUCACAAGCUUUCAGUAGCUUAGCAGUUCGUAUUCGUGCCUUGGUGGGGAUGUUACAGUCUUGGGGUGAAGGUGAAGGAGCAGCAGAGUUGGCCUGUGCUUCUCAUGUACAGAAACUAUUGAGUAAACUCCCCCCUGAACAAGUUGCUAAUUACAUCCGGCAUAGUAGAGCUACUCGACCAGGAGAACCCUAUAACUUGGUGAAUUUCUCUUCAUGGCUGCAGGAGGAAGCAGACUGUCAAGCAAUAGUAGGACAAGUCGGUGUUGUUCGGCGGAGACCUAAUGACCAUUUUCAGACGGAGAGGAAACUAAGGCAGUAUCAACCAACUACAACCAUUCUUCAUGGAGUGAGUAGUGUUCCAGUGGAGUGAUUCUUUAAGUCCCGUUCGAAAUUUCAGUUUUGAGGAUAAAGGAGUUGCUGAGGUUCCCAUGUCCAUUCUGUAGAAGUGACGAUCAUCACCUCAGUAGAUGCCAGGCCUUUAGCCUACUUGAUUUGGAGAAUAUGAGAAAAUGGAUUAAAGAGCAUCAUUGCUGUUGGAGAUGUG
rnacentral:lncRNA from 1 species